CAAACGGGUGCUUACCAUGCAGUCGAGCGGUAAGGCCCUUCGGGGUACACGAGCGGCGAACGGGUGAGUAACACGUGGGUGAUCUGCCUUGCACUUCGGGAUAAGCCUGGGAAACUGGGUCUAAUACCGGAUAUGACCACUGAUCGCAUGGUCGGUGGUGGAAAGAUUUAUCGGUGCGAGAUGGGCCCGCGGCCUAUCAGCUUGUUGGUGAGGUAACGGCUCACCAAGGCGACGACGGGUAGCCGACCUGAGAGGGUGACCGGCCACACUGGGACUGAGACACGGCCCAGACUCCUACGGGAGGCAGCAGUGGGGAAUAUUGCACAAUGGGCGAAAGCCUGAUGCAGCGACGCCGCGUGCGGGAUGACGGCCUUCGGGUUGUAAACCGCUUUUGACAGGGACGAAGCGCAAGUGACUGUACCUGUAGAAUAAGGACCGGCCAACUACGUGCCAGCAGCCGCGGUAAUACGUAGGGUCCGAGCGUUGUCCGGAAUUACUGGGCGUAAAGAGCUUGUAGGCGGUUCGUCGCGUCGUUUGUGAAAACUUGGGGCUCAACCUUAAGCUUGCAGGCGAUACGGGCGGACUAGAGUACUUCAGGGGAGACUGGAAUUCCUGGUGUAGCGGUGAAAUGCGCAGAUAUCAGGAGGAACACCGGUGGCGAAGGCGGGUCUCUGGGAAGUAACUGACGCUGAGAAGCGAAAGCAUGGGUAGCAAACAGGAUUAGAUACCCUGGUAGUCCAUGCCGUAAACGGUGGGUACUAGGUGUGGGGCUCCUUCCACGGACUCCGUGCCGUAGCUAACGCAUUAAGUACCCCGCCUGGGGAGUACGGCCGCAAGGCUAAAACUCAAAGAAAUUGACGGGGGCCCGCACAAGCGGCGGAGCAUGUGGAUUAAUUCGAUGCAACGCGAAGAACCUUACCUGGGUUUGACAUACACCGGGAAACCUGCAGAGAUGUAGGCCCCCUUGUGGUCGGUGUACAGGUGGUGCAUGGCUGUCGUCAGCUCGUGUCGUGAGAUGUUGGGUUAGUCCCGCACGAGCGCAACCUUAUCUUAUGUUGCCAGCGCGUAUGGCGGGACUCGUGGAGAAGACUGCCCGGGGUUCAACCUCGAGA
rnacentral:rRNA from 1 species